GCCGCCCUAGCUCAGUCGGCAGAGCGAUUCACUCGUAAUGAAUAGGUCGGGAGUUCGAUUCUCCCGGGCGGCA
rnacentral:tRNA from 1 species